rnacentral:rRNA from 1 species
AUUGAACGCUGGCGGCAUGCUUUACACAUGCAAGUCGAACGGCAGCACGGGUGCUUGCACCUGGUGGCGAGUGGCGAACGGGUGAGUAAUGCAUCGGGACGUAUCCAAUAAUGGGGGAUAACGCAUCGAAAGGUGUGCUAAUACCGCAUACGCCCUGAGGGGGAAAGUGGGGGACCGUAAGGCCUAACGUUAAUGGAGCGGCCGAUGCCUGAUUAGCUAGUUGGUGAGGUAAAGGCUCACCAAGGCGACGAUCAGUAGCUGGUCUGAGAGGAUGAUCAGCCACACUGGGACUGAGACACGGCCCAGACUCCUACGGGAGGCAGCAGUGGGGAAUUUUGGACAAUGGGGGCAACCCUGAUCCGGCCAUGCCGCGUGAGUGAAGAAGGCCUUCGGGUUGUAAAGCACUUUAAGCGAGGAGGAAUGGCUGAGGGUUAAUAACCUUCAGCAGUGACGUUACUCGCAGAAUAAGCACCGGCUAACUCUGUGCCAGCAGCCGCCGUAA